CCAACUAGAAAACCGACACGCAAAAGACGAUGGCCAACUAGAAAACCGACACGCAAAAGACGAACUAGA
rnacentral:ribozyme from 1 species